GUGUCUUCAUACGCUGUGGUCAGUUAUAGUCCUCCUCGCCGUCGAUCCCCAUUUUCCUGGAGAGUAUGAGUGGAGUGGUGAGCACAGUUCGUGUAGUAUGCUGUAGCUUAUGAAUUUCAUCCCGGAGGUGCGGCCUGAGAACGCUAGCUGCUGUUUCUUAUCCCUGUAUUCCCGGCCAUUUGUUACACCGGUCUCAUCUAACGCUGUUUCUAGCUGUUGUUUCACUCCCUUCAUACCGCUGUGUUGUAUAUUGUCAGAUUCUGUUUUGUGUAUGGUUGCGUGGUGGGCACAGUGUUAUACCGGUGCUCCACUGAGGAUCCA